rnacentral:rRNA from 1 species
GACGAACGCUGGCGGCGUGCUUAACACAUGCAAGUCGAACGGAAAGGCCCUGCUUUUGUGGGGUGCUCGAGUGGCGAACGGGUGAGUAACACGUGAGUAACCUGCCCUUGACUUUGGGAUAACUUCAGGAAACUGGGGCUAAUACCGGAUAGGAGCUCCUGCUGCAUGGUGGGGGUUGGAAAGUUUCGGCGGUUGGGGCUGGACUCGCGGCUUAUCAGCUUGUUGGUGGGGUAGUGGCUUACCAAGGCUUUGACGGGUAGCCGGCAUGAGAGGGUGACCGGCGACAUGAGUACUGCGAGACGGCGCAGACGGCUACGUGAGGCAGCAGGGGGGAGUAUUGCACAAUGGGCGGGAGCGUGAGACAGCAGCGCCGCGUGCGGGAUGACGGCCUGCGGGUUGUAAACCGCUUUGGCCUGAGACGAAGCGUGGGUGACGGUAAUGGGUAAAGAAGCACCGGCUAACUACGUG